rnacentral:rRNA from 2 species
UGGGGAAUAUUGCACAAUGGAGGAAACUCUGAUGCAGCGACGCCGCGUGAAGGAUGAAGUAUUUCGGUAUGUAAACUUCUAUCAGCAGGGAAGAAAAUGACGGUACCUGACUAAGAAGCCCCGGCUAACUACGUGCCAGCAGCCGCGGUAAUACGUAGGGGGCAAGCGUUAUCCGGAUUUACUGGGUGUAAAGGGAGCGUAGACGGCACGGCAAGCCAGAUGUGAAAGCCCGGGGCUCAACCCCGGGACUGCAUUUGGAACUGCUGAGCUAGAGUGUCGGAGAGGCAAGUGGAAUUCCUAGUGUAGCGGUGAAAUGCGUAGAUAUUAGGAGGAACACCAGUGGCGAAGGCGGCUUGCUGGACGAUGACUGACGUUGAGGCUCGAAAGCGUGGGGAGCAAACA